AAGGGAUUGUUGGCGCACGGGUGCGAUAUAAGGUCAGAUAGAAUCAGCCACCCUAAGAUUUGGGCAUAGCCACUAGAAAUGGUGAUAACUACCAAAUACUACCCUACGGGGGAAAGAUUUAUCGCUAAAGGAUUGGUCUAUGUCCUAUCAGCUUGUUGGUGGGGUAAAGGCUCACCAAGGCUAUGACGGGUAUCCGGCCUGAGAGGGUGAACGGGCACACUGGAACUGAGACACGGUCCAGACUCCUACGGGAGGCAGCAGUAGGGAAUAUUUGUUUUUUUGGGGGAAACCCUGAAGCAGCAACGCCGCGUGGAGGAUGAAGGUUUUAGGAUUGUAAACUCCUUUUGUGAGAGAAGAUC
rnacentral:rRNA from 1 species